rnacentral:rRNA from 1 species
GAUGAACGCUGGCGGCGUGCCUAAUACAUGCAAGUCGAGCGAACAGACGAGGAGCUUGCUCCUUUGACGUUAGCGGCGGACGGGUGAGUAACACGUAGGUAACCUACCUAUAAGACUGGGAUAACUUCGGGAAACCGGAGCUAAUACCGGAUAAUAUUUCGAACCGCAUGGUUCGAUAGUGAAAGAUGGCUUUGCUAUCACUUAUAGAUGGACCUGCGCCGUAUUAGCUAGUUGGUAAGGUAACGGCUUACCAAGGCAACGAUACGUAGCCGACCGGAGAGGGUGAUCGGCCACACUGGAACUGAGACACGGUCCAGACUCCUACGGGAGGCAGCAGUAGGGAAUAUUCCGCAAUGGGCGAAAGCCUGACGGAGCAACGCCGCGUGAGUGAUGAAGGUCUUCGGAUCGUAAAACUCUGUUAUUAGGGAAGAACAAACGUGUAAGUAACUGUGCACGUCUUGACGGUACCUAAUCAGAAAGCCACGGCUAACUACGUG